rnacentral:rRNA from 1 species
UCGUGGAGUGAUCUGUCUGCUUAAUUGCGUUUCACUAAGGGCUUAUAAAUUUACGUGUGUUGUGAGUACUUUGACCCCUAUAUUGAAAUAUAUAUAGUGCGUGUCUUAGUUUGCUUCACUCACACAAUUAAGUCCUGAAAGCAACGAACGUGACCGCAACCUCUUGUUGCUCCUAAUUUUAACGCGUAUUUAAUAAUAUUUAUAUUAUUUUAUACGUAUAAAGAAGCUUUGAAACUAGAGGGACCG